rnacentral:rRNA from 1 species
AGAGUUUGAUUAUGGCUCAGAAUGAACGCUGGCGACAUGGAUUAGGCAUGCAAGUCGAACGAGAAAGCGGUUUCGGCCGCGAGUAAAGUGGCGAAAGGGUGAGUAGCACGCGGGGAACCUGCCCCGGGGGACCGGAACAAGCCUGUGAAAACGGGUCUGAGACCGGAUGCCGCCCGGCCGCAUGGGCCGGAGGCGAAAGAUUCAUCGCCCCGGGAUGGCCCCGCGCCCCAUUAGCUAGUUGGCGGGGUGAAGGCCCACCAAGGCCUGCGACGGGUAGGUGGUCUGAGAGGAUGGUCACCCACACUGGGACUGAGACACUGCCCAGACUCCUACGGGAGGCUGCAGUCGAGAAUCUUCCGCAAUGGGCGCCAAGCCUGACGGAGCGAUGCCGCGUGGGGACGAAGGCCCUCGGGUCGUAAACCCCUGUCGGACGGGACGAAUGAAGCGACGGUACCGUCCAAGGAAGCCACGGCUAACCACGUGCCAGCAGCGGC